AGCAGGUGAAUUGAAUUUGUUGCUGGAUGACGAGGUGUUCUGGGGGAAGAGCUAGUCUAAGGAAAACUUCCUCUUACUGCCCCUUCCCAUCUCAAAUGGCCACUGCCUGGGGAAAUAGGUUCUUUAUGAGAUUAACUACAACGUUACAGUGAGGACGAGGAAUCAUCAUUACUCCCAUAGUUAUUUGCUGCCAGGCCGCAGCGUUGAUUUCAGAGACUUUUUUUUUUUUUAAAAAAAAAAAAAAGGAAAAAGAAAGGAAGUAUGUAUUCUUUCACAUCCUCUCUUUUCCCCGAGAGUAAAUGUUGUAGCUUCAGCAGUACCCUUCCUCUGGAAACAAUUCCCAGUACCUGCUCAGACACUGGGGAGGAAAAUGACAGAGAGAACAAUGGAGGAGAGCCAGCCGACAUAAAUAAAGGAAAAAAGGGGUUAUGGAUUAAGGGAAAGCCACUACAUAAAAAAUUGGUGCUCUCUAAAAAUUGGUUAAGGGUUUGGGACCUGCAGGUGCUGCCUACACCUGCGUGUGUUGCAGUCGUGCCUGUUGCCACUGCGCAAAAUGGAGAGAGCUUCUUUGUCGAAUGCAGCAUGUUAAAGCAUGCGCCAUUGCCUGGAAGAAAAGCACGGACUUCCCUCGUGUGGGACUUCUUCCCUAUUGAUCUGUGGUUAACUGAAGGUUUACCAUAACCUGCAUAUGUUUCAAAAAACAAAACAAAACAAAACAAAAACCAACAGCAACAUUAAAGAGUGGCAAGGCAGAUGCGCAUCUGGGGACUCUGACUCAUCGGUGACAUCACCAAGCAAAGCACUGUGAGCGCUUCGGGUCGGGGCUGCUGCGGCGAGCCUCGCAGGUGGGAGGGAGAGCGGGUACGGUUCGCCUGUGGCGGGUCUGCGUCAGCCCUCUGCCCUGGUGGCUUCGUUAGCAGUGAGAGUUUGACUCCCGUGUUCCCAGCUUUCGCUUCUGCACCGAGCGUGUGGCAGAGCCCGCAAGCUGCUUCCUCAUCUGGAAGAGGAAGAGGAGUGACCUCAACUGUGCCGAGGGUUACUUUUAAAGAGAAGAUUUCACUGAUCACAAGCCAGUAGAAGACCUUCAGUCCAAGCAAGGGUGAAGACAGCUCUCUCCAAGAGCAGAGGAAGUCCCUGUGGAGAGAACCCGAGCUUGUUCUCAGAACUUGUCAGCAUGUCUGAACAAGGAGACGAUUGCUACUUCUAUUUCUAUUCUACCUGUACCAAGGGAGACAACUGUUCCUUCCGCCACUGCGAAGCUGCUCUGGGGAACGAGACGGUCUGCACGCUGUGGCAGGAGGGUCGUUGUUUCAGGAAUGUCUGCCGAUUCAGACACAUGGAAAUUGAUAUGAGUGCCUAAAGAUGUGUUCUCAAAAUAAGUCAACAAAAGCAUUUGUCAGUGCUGUAGGUGUGCUGCUUGUGCUUUUGCAGGAUAGAUUCAUCAGCUUUGAAAUUACACUGCUUUCUGUUACCAGGAGAGGGGGUGGGAGGAAGGAGAGGGAAAUAAAAUCAGUGCCUUAGGUAUGUCUUAGCAAGAUUUUCUUUUAUUAGAUGCCGACAGUAUUUUCUCAACAGAUGCAGAAUAACUGCUAAAUAGACUGCUAAAACCUGCUGGAGCAGGGCGGGUAAUAAACAGGCUGUACUAGCCUCCUGAGAGCAGGCUUGAGAAUGAUCUAUCAGGUCUCUUGUGUCCCGGAGUCCUUCAGAUAAUGCUGUUCUAGCUGCCUGGGGUAGGAAGCAGUGGGGAAAGUUAAAGGUGCAGAAGAACGAAGUCUCCAAGAAGUAGUUCUAGAUAGAGUUAAC